AUGGAGCUGAGAGACUAUGUGGUAGACGUGAGGGAUGUUGUCUACCAGGGCCGGAGUCAGGAGGUUGUAGCCAAGCAUGGGUAUGAAAGAGCUGAGGGAGUGCAUGCAGGGUGUGUGCCAGAGAAGGUGCUGAGAGACAGGCCAGUUGGUCAGCAGAAAAACAAUCAGGAACAGUUCAUGUUUCCUGAAUUCCCCCUGAUGAUGCUGGACCUGGAGUCUGUCAAGCCGAAGGUGAAAAGUCCCAGCACCACCAGCAGUAAUAACAAUAGUAGCAGCAGUAGCAACUCGGGAUGGGAUCAGCUAAGCAAAACAAAUCUCUAUAUCCGAGGACUGCCUCCCAACACCACCGACCAGGACCUGGUGAAGCUCUGCCAACCAUAUGGGAAAAUAGUCUCUACAAAGGCAAUUUUGGAUAAGACAACAAACAAAUGCAAAGGUUAUGGGUUUGUGGACUUUGACAGUCCUGCAGCGGCUCAGAAAGCUGUGUCUGCCCUGAAGGCCAGUGGGGUUCAAGCGCAAAUGGCAAAGCAACAGGAACAAGAUCCCACCAACCUGUAUAUUUCUAAUUUGCCACUGUCCAUGGAUGAGCAAGAACUUGAAAAUAUGCUCAAACCAUAUGGACAAGUUAUUUCUACAAGGAUACUACGUGAUUCCAAUGGCACAAGUCGUGGUGUCGGCUUUGCUAGGAUGGAAUCAACAGAAAAAUGCGAAGCAGUUAUUGGUCAUUUUAAUGGAAAAUUCAUUAAGACACCACCAGGAGUUUCCGCUCCUACAGAGCCUUUAUUAUGUAAGUUUGCGGAUGGAGGACAGAAGAAGAGGCAGAACCCCAACAAAUACAUCCCUAAUGGAAGACCGUGGCAUAGAGAAGGAGAGGCUGGAGUGACGACUUACUUAUGACCCAGCUACAGAGGCUAUGCAGAACGGAUUUUAUCCUUCACCAUACAGUAUUGCUACAAACCGAAUGAUCACUCAGACUUCUAUAACACCCUAUAUUGCAUCUCCUGUAUCUGCCUACUAGGUGCAAAGUCCUUCUUGGAUGCAACCUCAACCAUAUAUCCUACAGCACCCUGGUGCCCUGUUAACUCCCUCAAUGGCGCACACUAUGUCACUACAGCCUGCGUCUAUGAUCAGCCCUCUGGCCCAGCAGAUGAGUCAUCUGUCACUAGGCAGCACCGCAACUUACAUGCCUGCAACAUCAGCUAUGCAAGGAGCCUAUUUGCCACAGUAUGCACACAUGCAGACAACGGCGGUUCCUGUUGAGGAGGCGAGUGGUCAGCAGUAGGUGACUGUAGAGACGUCUAAUGACCAUUCUCCAUAUACCUUUCAACCCAAUAAGUAACUGUGAGAUGUACAGAGGGUGUUCUUAUGUGAAGAAGGGUGUGAAGGCUGAACAAUCAUGGAUUUUUCUGAUCAAUUGUGCUUUAGGAAAUUAUUGACAGUUUUGCACAGCUGUAUGAAAUGGGCUUUCUGAAGUUUAAUAGUCCAACUUCACCCAUGGUAUCUGUGCUUGCCCUGCGAGUGCUGCUGUAAUUCAGCGUUGCCGUCAGCGUCUCUUUUCUUAGCUUUCCGUUUUUCUUUCAACGUAGUGUGAAGUGUCUUAUCCUUUUCUAUGAAUUCCAAUUUGCCUUAACUCUUUUGAUGCUGUAGCUGUUUCAGUAAAAGUUAGUUCAAACUAAUGAUGUAGAAUGCUUUGACCAAAUGAGCUGGUCUAUUAUGCCUUGUAAAACAGCAGCAUAGGGCUUUUAAAAGGUAGUCAAUAAAAGUUGCUGAAAUUUUGGCUUUUUUAAAAUACGUAGUAGGUGUUUUUAAUGAUUUUUCACAUAAUGUGUAAAGUAGUGAAAUGCAAGAAGGGAAAAAUGUUUUGUGUGAAACAUUUUCUGACUGGGGAACUUUUAAUAGGGUAAAUUGUUUGUAAGGCUGUAUGCCAACAGUUUCCUCUGAUAGGUUGACUGAUUUAGGAUAUCUGCUGUAUGAUGCAAUGUAAAGUCUUUUUUGCCUUUUUUCAGGAAAAAAAAAAAACAACCUAACUUGAUGUUCUA